rnacentral:rRNA from 1 species
GCUACUCUGCUGACGAGCGGCGGACGGGUGAGUAAUGCUUGGGAAUAUGCCUUAUGGUGGGGGACAACAGUUGGAAACGACUGCUAAUACCGCAUGAUGUCUACGGACCAAAGUGGGGGACCUUCGGGCCUCACGCCAUAAGAUUAGCCCAAGUGGGAUUAGCUAGUUGGUGAGGUAAUGGCUCACCAAGGCGACGAUCCCUAGCUGGUUUGAGAGGAUGAUCAGCCACACUGGGACUGAGACACGGCCCAGACUCCUACGGGAGGCAGCAGUGGGGAAUAUUGCACAAUGGGCGCAAGCCUGAUGCAGCCAUGCCGCGUGUGUGAAGAAGGCCUUCGGGUUGUAAAGCACUUUCAGUAAGGAGGAAAGGUUAAGUGUUAAUAGCACUUAGCUGUGACGUUACUUACAGAAGAAGCACCGGCUAACUCCGUGCCAGCAGCCGCGGUAAUACGGAGGGUGCGAGCGUUAAUCGGAAUUACUGGGCGUAAAGCGUACGCAGGCGGUUUGUUAAGCGAGAUGUGAAAGCCCCGGGCUCAACCUGGGAACUGCAUUUCGAACUGGCAAACUAGAGUGUGAUAGAGGGUGGUAGAAUUUCAGGUGU